GAUGAACGCUGGCGGCGUGCCUAAUACAUGCAAGUCGAGCGAACAGACGAGGAGCUUGCUCCUCUGACGUUAGCGGCGGACGGGUGAGUAACACGUGGAUAACCUACCUAUAAGACUGGGAUAACUUCGGGAAACCGGAGCUAAUACCGGAUAACAUAUUGAACCGCAUGGUUCAACAGUGAAAGACGGUUUUGCUGUCACUUAUAGAUGGAUCCGCGUCGCAUUAGCUAGUUGGUAAGGUAACGGCUUACCAAGGCAACGAUGCGUAGCCGACCUGAGAGGGUGAUCGGCCACACUGGAACUGAGACACGGUCCAGACUCCUACGGGAGGCAGCAGUAGGGAAUCUUCCGCAAUGGGCGAAAGCCUGACGGAGCAACGCCGCGUGAGUGAAGAAGGUCUUCGGAUCGUAAAACUCUGUUAUUAGGGAAGAACAAAUGUGUAAGUAACUAUGCACGUCUUGACGGUACCUAAUCAGAAAGCCACGGCUAACUACGUG
rnacentral:rRNA from 1 species